CCCUGGUUUAAUAAGGACUUGUUUAUUUUGAGGAAAAAAGGUCCCAAACAUCAGGCUGUUCACAAAAAUAACCCACAGUAUCAACUUUAGAAAACAAAUCUUAAGACUAUAACACUAAUUAUUUUUCUAGAGGAUGCAUUUGACAUGCCAACUCUCAUUCACAAAAAUACAUUGUUACAUUUGUGUUGAACUGCCCCACACAGCACACUAAUGUGGGGGUGUAACACACAUACUUCUAACUCAAAGCUGCUUUCAAGAGCUACUCAACUAAAUGAGAUUGCCUUUGCAGUUAGGGAAGCAACUACUGAACUUAUGUAUGAAUGAAAAGAACUGUACUCCCUGCAUAACAAGAGAUUAUUUUGGAGACAGUUGAUAAAAACCAUACAUCAUUUUUAUUGUUAAGUCAUAAAGAGGUAUCAAAAUUAAAAGCAAAAAUUACAGGGUAAGACUUAACAAAACUACUAGGAGCGUCAAAGGAAGUGAAAAUGGGACUAGGCGCGGGGCAAUAUGAAUUAAUUAAUGAACAUGGGAAGGACAAGGAUGGGGAAAACAGUGAGCAUGUGCUGAAGAUACUAGGGGAGAGGAUCUGGUGAAAAAUUUGAUCUUAGACAAGCGCCUAGGUAAAGAAAUAAUGGGAUAAGAUUUCUAAACCCCACUAUGUGCUUAAGAGUCAUCCUCGCCAUUGGCGCUGUCUCUGUCAUCCUCUCCUUCCUCAGCCUCUUUUUCAUCAUCCUUGAUCAACUCCAGCUGGUCAUCCCCCCAUCUUCAUUAUCAUCAUCAUCCAGUAGGUCCCCCUCCUCAGCAGAGUCAUCUGCACCCCCCUCAGACUCCAUCUUCACAUUAGUCUCAUCUUUCUUCACGGAGCUGCUGCUCUGCUCCUCUUCUGACUUAACAUUGUUCAUCUCUACUGCUUGUUUGCUCUGUUCCUUUUCAAUUUUUUCCAGGUUUUCCAGGAAAGAAUCCACUUUUUGUUUUAUCUGGGUCAGCUCCCUCUUAAUGGCCUGAAGGUCAUCUCCUUUCAACUUUCCAGACUUGGAAGAUCCCCGCUGUCCACUCUUAGAAUUGAAGCCACUUAUGCCCCUUUGUGAAGUGUUUCCUGAUACACGCUGACGUUUCGAGGGCACUACAGCCCGAGCAAUAGGAGGAGGAGGAGGUACACGUGCUGGGUAACUGUACAUCCUAUCAUAAUAGUCCCGUUGAAAGUCACAAUCCAAGUCAAAAGAGGAGCCGUACAUCUCCGCUGCAGAUCGUUUCACACCUGCUUUUCCUCGGUUCACUUUUGGCUCUGCAGCCAGGUUAAUAUCUAAAACCUGGCCAGCAAUCAUUCUGCCAUCCUCUCCUGCUACAGCAGCCCGGGCAUUUCUCUCAUUAACAUACUGAAAGAAGGCAAAGCCCUUAUGAACAGAGCAGCCCACAAUUUUGCCAUACUUCGAAAAGAUUGCCUCCACAUCAGAUUUCUUGACCACAAGAGUGUUGAGAUUCCCAAUGAAUACACGGGAGUUCAUGGAACGAGGAUCUGUCUUGUUGGUAACGUUGCUGGCCAUUGUGUUUGAUGCAGAAAUUCCGCUGAAAUGAUAGUUAAGGAAUCAUAAAGGUAUAAUUCCACAAAGACAAAGAAAAAAGAAAAAAGGUCUAUCAGUGGGUGAGAAAGUUCACAUUUCCUGAUGAUAUAAAGUAGAUGGAGGUGUAGCAAUUGACUUUGCACAACAGAAGGGGCCAGAAUAAGUUAUCCUGAUGAGAAGAAAGACAAUACACCCUGAAAAUCCUAGAAAGCAUUAACCCUUGAAGGCAUCAAGUACCGGAAGACAGGUCAGUUGAACUUACGAAUGCAGAACCCAUGGUUAGAGAGGGCCAGCUGUACAGAUAAAAGCAAGCACAAAGGUGGCUGGCACGAUGGCCGAACAGGAACAGCUCUGGUCUGCAGCUCCCAGUGAGAUCAACACAGAAGGCAGGAAUCUAGCGCUUCAGGAUUAUGUGCACUCUUGCUAAUCCAAGUGUUAUCCCUGAACCAGCAGCAUCAGCAUCACCAGAGAACUUGCUGGAAAUGCAGAAUAUCAGACUCUACCCCAGACCUACUUAAUCAGAGAAGCCCAGAGAGAUUCAUAUGCACAUUAAAGUUGGAGAAGUCCCAUACUCAUAUACUAGCAUAAACAGAGUAUCCUCAAACUCAUAACAAAGAAACCUACAAAACAUGAAGUACUGUCCUUUCAAUUUAGGGGCAGAGGAUUGGACAUUUUAUUUUAUUUUUUUAUGGGGGAAUACAGCUAAAACUGAAUUGCUUCAAUAAAGUCUUUGACAAUUUAAAAGCUGAAUGUGUGUGUGUGGCUGGGAAUCUUGUUUUCAUCUGGGAUCAAGAAUUAUUACUAUGUAUAUGGGGAAGUGUUUCUUCUACAACAGCUAUUGACUAAGAAAACUAAGGAGAAAAGACCAAAAAAGAGUGCAAAUAACUUCAAAAUAGAUAACGAGUAUCAUACGUAUUUAGUAAUUUACAUGUAAAAAUGUAGAAUUUUUUUU
rnacentral:lncRNA from 1 species